ACGCUCGACACCUACGGGGGCAGCAGUGGGGAAUAUUGCACAAUGGGGGAAACCCUGAUGCAGCGACGCCGCGUGAAGGAAGAAGUAUCUCGGUAUGUAAACUUCUAUCAGCAGGGAAGAAAAUGACGGUACCUGACUAAGAAGCCCCGGCUAACUACGUGCCUGCAGCCGCGGUAAUCUGAGCGGGCUGGCAAGGC
rnacentral:rRNA from 1 species